CCUCCUGGCUAUGUCCAUAUGAUGGUUAAGCACGCUUGAGCCAGAGGCGUCUUGGGAUGGGUGACCACCUGGGAAGUCCUGGUUACCGGGUGCA
rfam:Picea glauca, whole genome shotgun sequence.